UACAGAGGUCCCAAGCGUUGUUCGGAUUCACUGGGCGUAAAGGGUGCGUAGGUGGUGGGGUAAGUUUGAGGUGAAAGCUCCGGGCUCAACCCGGAAAUGGCCUUGAAGACUAUCCUGCUCGAGGGUUGGAGGGGGGACUGGAAUUCUCGGUGUAGCAGUGAAAUGCGUAGAUAUCGAGAGGAACACCAGUGGCGAAGGCGAGUCCCUGGACAACACCUGACACUGAGGAGCGAAAGCCAGGGGAGCAAACGGG
rnacentral:rRNA from 1 species